UUUUAAAUGGAAAGCUGUGCUGCACAGCUGGGGCUUAACCGAUCCAUUUCUGUGCCAAGAACAGGGAACCAAUGCAGCGCAGUAAGUUCUGUGUGCAAUGAAUUCACUUUUGAACCCUUCCCAAACCUCAAGGUAGAUAGGACUUUUUUUAAAGAUGAUGUAUUUUGGGCUGUUGUGUUUUAUCCUCCACAGAACGCCAGAGCCUUAUCACGUUUGGAGAAGGCUGAGAUUCUGGAGACGACGGUGCAGCAGCUGCGCAGGCUGAAGAAGCAAGGUGCACUUGCUGCUUCCAUUCCGCAAGACAGUCAAGAUUUUGUCUCUGGUUACUGCCACUGCGUCAAUACCAUCUGUACCUUCCUUAACUCAGCUGGCUCCUCUUCGGCACAGGAGAUGAAAUCUCAGAUCCUACAACAUUUGGAAAGGAUUUCAGGGCCCAGGUCUACCAUUACAUCAGCCCUCAAGGCCUGGCAACCAGGCAAGACAGACUCUCUCCCCUCCCACCAACCUUCCUUUCUAUGGGCAACUCCUCUAAUGCCUGCAGGGCCUCCUUUGGAUUCAGACUCCCACACUCACUCAGUUGGGUCUUGGUUGCAGUAUUCAGCUUCUACGCCAUUGCCCCAGCUACAGAAACCUUGGAUUCAGCCAGCCUUGCUUGCGACAACCACCCACGUGUGGAGACCGUGGUGAAUGACAUUCCGGAAAAGUGACUUGUAAUUUGUUGUGGGUAUUUGUUUUUUAAUCUAUACAGACAAACCUCGGUUUUCGAAUGUAAUCCAUUCCGGAAGCCCUUUCGAUUGGUUGCAGGAGCUUCCUGCACUCAAGCGGAAGCCACAUUGGACAUUUGGCUUCCGAAAAACAUUUGAAAACCGGAGCAUUUACUUCCAGGUUUUCGGUGUUCGGGAGCAGAAACAUUCCAAAACGGAGGUGUUCAGGAUCCAAGGUUUGACUGUAUAUUGAUUGUUUUAUUGUCUGCUGUUCUAAAGUUUCUAUUUUUAAAUGAAUGUUUUUAUAUUAUUUUAUGCAGACCACUUAAGUUUCAAAAUUGAAUGACACACACUUGCUCAAUAAAGAGGUUUGGCCUUACUCAAGACAUCCAACUGCAGUAGAUCAAGUAUGAAACAAAGCAGAAUUGCCUUCCCAAAACGAGAUGGCUUUCUGAACUGUGACACUGAAGGCUUCAGCAAAAGGUUUCAGCUCCAAAUAUGAACUCACCUUUGUCUCAGAUGGACAUUUUGCCAUCUAAUGAGCCUCUGAAAUCUGCAGCUCAGUUACCUACAGCAGCUUAAGGCAAGUAAGAUGAAUACACAGAGACAAGCCCUACUUCUCAGUAGAGUCAUUAAGUGCUACGGCAAACAAUGGACAUGCUGUGAACACUGGACCUAGCUUGGAAGGAUCCACUGGCAAUGCUGUCUGAGGCUUGCUAAGUGCAAUUAUUAACACAGUAGAAUAUGUUUGGUUGCCUGCCUAAUCUGCCAGAGCUAAUUCCAUGUUUCGUUGGUAUAAUGCUGAAUAUGACAGUGGGACACUUGAUGUAUUUUAAGAGAUCCUUUUAAAGCAAUAGUUGUAAAUAACUUAACCCUCCAGCGUUUAGCAAUGUCCAGGCAGAAUAUUAAGUAUUCCUCACAAGAGCUGCCAGUCUGAAGGAGAAGGAAAACAGGCCAUUUUCAUUCUGAUCAAGAUUACAACUUCAGGGCCCAGGGAUUUAGUGCUACUCUUGUUCUGUCAAGGAUUCCAUCUUGCAAAUAGUCGCACGCACUGGGAAGAAAGGGUAAAGGUUUUUAAUAAAACUAGCCAUACGCACAGCUUGUCAAACUGACUGAUUCAUAAGAGGAAAUGCGGACUUUUGAGGCCAGGUGUUCAAAGAAUAGUGUCACACAAAGCCAACAAGCGGCCCUGUAUCCCUUGAGAACUCAAGAGACGCAAAGAUGGGAGAUAGAGGCCGACUCCACUUGCUUUACAGGUUCCAUUUCUUUAUUCAACUCAGUAAACAUCUAGUUACAAGUUUCACGAAAUCAAAUUUUAUAAGAUGGGGAGCUGACUGGAUUGGGGCAGAGAGGUAGGGCCUGUUUUGUUUGUCCACACCUCACCUGAUCCCUUCCACCCUUUCAUACAUACCCCAUUUCCAGGGCAGGCAGGCAGGCAGGCCGAGAGCAAAGGCGACUAAAGGUUAUUUUUCCAAGUGCUUGAAACUAAUAGCAGGUCAACAGGUUUCCUUACUUGGUUGCCACUUGAGGUGGGUGGGUAGAUUAAAUACAAACUUCGGAACCAGCCAAACUUGGACCAGGAAAUAGAGGGGGUGGCAAAAACUGAGGGAGACCACUCCUGCACCCCUCCAAAAAACACUAAGGGGAGGGAUUGGGUAGCUCAGUGAGGGCAGGGAGGAGUUAAGAGGAAAAAGAA